ACAGUUUGAUUCUGACUGAGAAAUUAACUUAUACCAACCAAAAUACAUGUAAAAUAUAUUAAACCCGCGCUAUACCACAACUAAAAGAACAAAUAACUGUAUUUAGUAUGCACUCCAUACAACAGAGCGCCACAGUAAGCAACACUUUUCAAUUUGAGAAAUUAAGAAAAGAGUAUGGUACAAGGGCUGGCAAAAUUCGUGCCAGCUGCCGCGGUUAGACGACAAGCCCAAGUUAAUAAAAUAUAAACUAAUUAAUGAUAAAUUAAACAAUAACAAAAGUAUAAUUUUUAAGAUCUCUGACCCUUAUUUAUCACACAAAAAUGAAAUCAUGAGCUAAAACAUGGAUUAGAUACCCAUCUAUUCAUGACAUAAAUAACAGUUGAAUAUUACGAACAAUAGUUUAAAAUUCAAAGAUUUUGGCGGUGUCUUAUAAAACCAGGGGAACCUGUCUCAUAACUCGAUAAUCCACGCAUACCCAACCUUCUCUUGAUAUCAGCAUGUGUACUGCCGUUGUAAGCAUACCUUUAAAAGAAUAGUAUGCUGCUAUGAUUUAUAAUAACUCACACACAUCAGGUCAAAGUGCAGCUAAUAAGGAGGUGAUGAUGGGUUACAACCCUAAAACAGACUAUCAAUUAAGAAAUAAAAAAUCUUAUGAAAGUGGACUUGGCUGUAAUCAAUUUUAAAUUAAAAAAAUGAAUAAUAUCUAAGACAUGUACACAUCGCCCGUCACUCUAUCCUAAAGGUUAGAUAAGUCGUAACAAAGUAGGUGUAAUGGAAAUUGUACCUGU
rnacentral:rRNA from 1 species